CCUACGGGGUGCAGCAGUGAGGAAUAUUGGUCAAUGGACGAGAGUCUGAACCAGCCAAGUAGCGUGAAGGAUGACUGCCCUAUGGGUUGUAAACUUCUUUUAUAUGGGAAUAAAAUGUUCCACGUGUGGGAUUUUGUAUGUACCAUAUGAAUAAGGAUCGGCUAACUCCGUGCCAGCAGCCGCGGUAAUACGGAGGAUCCGAGCGUUAUCCGGAUUUAUUGGGUUUAAAGGGAGCGUAGGUGGAUUGUUAAGUCAGUUGUGAAAGUUUGCGGCUCAACCGUAAAAUUGCAGUUGAAACUGGCAGUCUUGAGUACAGGAGAGGUGGGCGGAAUUCGUGGUGUAGCGGUGAAAUGCUUAGAUAUCACGAAGAACUCCGAUUGCGAAGGCAGUUCACUGGACUGCAACUGACACUGAGGCUCGAAAGUGUGGGUAUCAAACAGGAUUAGUACCCCUGGUAGUC
rnacentral:rRNA from 1 species